AUUAUUUACACUGUAUUAAAUUAACUUAUCUUUUGUCCAUGUACUAAUACAAACUUUCAUUCACAGAAUUUCAGGGAAGAGAUGGCAGCGAGACGAAAGGAGAGAGGGAAAGGGCCUCCCAAAAAAGGUGAAGGCAAGCGUGCCAAAAAGAAGAAAUAGAAGAGAUCUGGUGAAUUGUACAAAAUAGGGUUUCAGGAUUCUCAUUGUCUCAGGAAAAGACAGAAUAUGAUUGUUAUGCUUUUUUCUUGUAAAUAUACCAUCAUCUGGAAAAAAUAAAGAAGUCAGGCUGCAGUCUUGUUCUGUUUAUAGA